rnacentral:lncRNA from 1 species
AAAAUACUUCUGAAGCUUCGUCGUCACCAACGGGCCACCAUAAUCUCCGGGUGCCGUUCCAGUGGACCAUUUUUGAGGCUUCUUCUUAGGUAAGAUGAUCUUGAUGGGUUUUGGAUUUGCUGGUGAGAUGUUCGAGUCUUGAGAACUGGGUAUCGUUAUGGAGGUAAUUGAUACGUAACCGUUCACAACCGCAAUUGUUAAUUGCUUUUCUUGUGUAUUUUGGCUAAAAUCGAAAAGAAACGAGAAAAAAAAUAUAUGAAUGUUAUGUUGGUGGUCAUGGAUUUGUGUUCAAUUGAGUUUCCACACAUAUAUCAUCAGAUCAGCAAAAAGAUAUCAGAAGCGUAGUUGCCAGGGGCGAAAAAGUAAAAAGGUUAUAAAGAUAAAAUUUUGAUAUUUUUAAAUUCUGAUUCAUCAACAAAUCUAUUUGCAGAUCCAACAACAACAAAUAUAAAAGAUCUGGACAAAUAGAAACACAAAUAUAAAUCCAGCCACCCAUACGGGAAACCUACUGCAUAGCAAAGGAAAUGACGCACCAAAUCAGCCAAAUCAGAGCAUGGAUCAAAACUGAAAUUGGAACCGCAAAACCUAUAAAUCGGCCAGAUUUCGACAAAUAUAACCGGCGAAACGCAGAAUCCGACCACAUAAAACAUAACCCAAACCAGAUCUUAAGAAAAGCGAAAUAAUAAAAUAAUAAACAGAAUUUCGGUGAUGAAUGUUGGUAGCGGCGGUGGUAGUGGAAGAGAAAAUUGAAAGUGAAGACAGGUUUAUUUAAUUUGUUUAAGUAUAAUAUAUUAAUAAAUUGUUAAUAUAUCACAAUAUUUGCUUUCAAUAAUUAAUAAUUUUUUACCUAACAUAUAAACAUUUAUGUAAAUAAAAAUUUAUUUUGAAAAGAUUUUUAAUUUAAAAUUUUUUUUAAUUUUAUAAUUUCUUCAAUUAUAUUUGUUAUUAGUUAUAUAAAAAAAACAUUUGCUAUUAAUUACAAAAAUAACCAAAUAACUUUUUAUUUUUUAAUUUCUACCAUGUAUUUUUUGCUAAACUUUUUGAUUUUAUUAUAAUUUUUCCUAAAUUUAUUUUAUAUUCCCCUUAAUUUUAAUUAACAUAUUUUUAGUUUUUAUAUUUUAUAAAUG